rnacentral:lncRNA from 1 species
GGGGCUGCGGGUUAGGGGGCCGGCGCCCGCGGUUCAGGAUUCCAGAAUUGGAAAUAACGGGAGGGAGGACCUGGUCCAGCUUCCCUUCCUCAAAUAAGGAAAUUGACACCUGGCGUGUAUGCUUUUUAGCCCACUUCGUAGGAAUGGGAGCUGGAAAGGAUGGAUUUAGUAAAUGUUACUAGAGUGAUUGAGUUUAAGCUCCCUGUGGUCCUGUUAGCAUUGUGC